AGGUUAUCCAGGUGUCACCCCUGGACAGCAGCAUGAGCAUCGCAUGUGAUCUCUGGUUGGACCCAAAGCAUACUGAAUCAGAGCCACUGAGUGUAGAGUCAGCAGUCUGCUGUUUACCAGCCUUUCAGGGGAGUCUGAUGAAUGCUAAUGUUUUAAAAUCACAAUUUAGAUAAUAAGGAAAUUCAUUUUCUCACUAAGCAGAAGUACCAAGGCAGGGUAUCUUUGGGUUCAGCAUGAUGAAGUCCAAGUUCUGCUACUCUGUGACUCUUCCGUCUAGGAAGGUUGGCUCUUCCUCAGCUGACUCACUUCAUGGCCACAAUAUUCAAGGCAGAAAAUGAGCCAUCUCUUCCUGUGACUUUUUCAGAGAGUGCAGAUACCUUUUCCAGGGUCCUCCUAACAGGCUCACCUGAAUGUUUCAGAGGCCAGGAUUCCAUAACCUGACCAGGUCUCCUGCCAAUUACAGAAGAUAGAGCAAGGCCAACCUGAUUGGCUAAAAUGAACCAAGGCCUGCCCUCCACCACAUGAGGGCCAAAGAGAAAGCAUGCCUGAAUCCAAAGAGGUUCCCACAGGAGAAAGAAGGCAAAGCAAGGAGACAGUACAUGGGAAUCGGCAGUGUAUGGGCUACCAAGAGUGUCUACUGCAAGGAUGAACAUGAGUCGUGGAAGAAGCAGCACAAACUACAUACUCUUAAGUGCGAGUCGGCCCUGAAGACUACUACACUAAGAAAAUGUGAGCGAAGAUUCUUUGUCCUUGGUUUUCCGCGGGAGACUGACUGAGCUACAGAUAGCUGUGACAGAUGGUGCUCUGUCCUUUAUAUCAAGGACAACAUUGCACCUCGUGGACUUGUUUUUCCCUUGUGCGGUGGCAUGUGCCCAUUAGGUUUUGCUGGGGAUGGAGCAGUGACAGUGUUCUGCUGAUCAGACAGCUGUGGGGGUGACAGGUUCUCAGGAAUAAUGGUGCUGGCACAACUGGGCACUGAAUUUGCAUCCAUGUGUGGACAUGUGCCUGGAGGCUUAGCGAGAACACCACCGUGUCUUUUGUCAGCAACUCAGUACAAUCAGAAACAAUUACAGCAUUCUGUUAUGGUUGAAUACCGGGCUGGUUUAAAAUAGUAUUCCACCUUUAACCACCUAAGUGAGACAGAUUUUUCCUUCAGAUGUGUCAAUAAGUAUGUUGAAAUAUGUCUGAACAUUUGAGAAGAGUAAAGAAGUCUUAAAUAAAAAAUCAAGAAUAAG
ensembl:lncRNA